UAAGGUGAUUAUAGCAAUGGGGCUCACCUCUUACCAUUCCGAACAGAGAAGUUAAGCCCAUUAGCGCCGAUGGUACUGCCACUGGUGGGAGAGUAGGUCGUUGCCUUUC
rfam:Tenacibaculum holothuriorum strain S2-2 contig24, whole genome shotgun sequence.